AACGAACGCUGGCGGCAUGCCUAACACAUGCAAGUCGAACGAGACCUUCGGGUCUAGUGGCGCACGGGUGCGUAACGCGUGGGAACCUGCCCUUAGGUUCGGAAUAACUCCCCGAAAGGGGUGCUAAUACCGGAUAAUGUCUUCGGACCACAGAUUUAUCGCCUUUGGAUGGGCCCGCGUUGGAUUAGCUAGUUGGUAGGGUAAAAGCCUACCAAGGCGACGAUCCAUAGCUGGUCUGAGAGGAUGAUCAGCCACACUGGGACUGAGACACGGCCCAGACUCCUACGGGAGGCAGCAGUGGGGAAUAUUGGACAAUGGGCGAAAGCCUGAUCCAGCAAUGCCGCGUGAGUGAUGAAGGCCUUAGGGUUGUAAAGCUCUUUUACCCGGGAUGAUAAUGACAGUACCGGGAGAAUAAGCUCCGGCUAACUCCGUG
rnacentral:rRNA from 1 species